GCCGGGCCGGGCCCCGCAGAGCGGCCGAGACGCGGCCCCGCUCACCUUCAGACAGCUCCAGCUCCAGCUCCGCCAGGCUCUCGCGCACCUCAGGUGGCAGCGGCACAGCCUCCAGCGCGCAGCCCCCGCGCUCCGCCGCCAUGGCGCGGGCGGGCGAGCAGCGAGCGGACCCCGCCGGAGCCGCCGCCCAGCGCUGCCGCAGAAAAUAGGAACUGUGACCGAGCGUGAAGUCCGGGCUCCUCCUCUCCGCCUCCCCCCCCCCAACCCAACCCACGGCGUGUCCCAGGAUAGGAUAUGGAGAUAUUCAUGCCACAGAAUUCCAGUAUGACAGCCGAGAUGUAAAGUGGUGCCUGGGACUGUAAUUAAUUAAUUAAUAAUAAAUAAAGAAGUCUUUCCUAAAGCCAA